GCAAACUUGGUCAUUUAGAGGAAGUAAAAGUCGUAACAAGGUUUCCGUAGGUGAACCUGCGGAAGGAUCAUUAUUGAAUAUAUUGCCUUGAUGGGUUGUUGCUGGCCUCUUGGGGCAUGUGCACACCUGUCUUGACUCUAUUCAUCCACCUGUGCACCUUUUGUAGUUCUUAUGUUUUUCUGAUAAUCAUGACAUCCAUUCAGCUGAGACAUUGCUGGAAUUGAAGUUUGCCUUGUAUACCCACUUGGCUUUCCUUUUGUUGGUGGAGUCUUGACUCAGAAAUUACAGAAAGAACUAUGUCUUUUUAUCAUAAACCAUAUAGUCUGUUAUCAGAGUGUAAUCAUUGGGCCAUUUCAGUGCCUAUAAACUUUAUACAACUUUCAGCAACGGAUCUCUUGGCUCUCGCAUCGAUGAAGAACGCAGC
rnacentral:misc_RNA from 1 species